CCAUCUCUCUCAGUCUCUUACCUUCACCCUCUCUGACACCAGAACCGCCAAAGACCACCACCUUCCGAUGCCUGAAACCGCCUUACCCCUACGAAUUGAAAGCAAACCCCAAAUCUCUAAACCCUAUAUCUAUUGGUGUGGCGGUUGUGUUUUCAAACGAAAACUAUAGAUCCAUGUGGAGAGAAGACAGAGAGUUUCAGGAGUGAGAGGGGGCGGGGUUGUGGUGUGUUGUUGCCGGAGAAAAAAAACGAUUACACUAGAUGGAUGUGCAGAGGAGACAGAGAGUUUCAGAAUUGAAAGUAAACCCCCAAAUCUGUCACGACACCAUCCCUGGCUUCACCAAUAGACCCACGACCACCUCUUGCGUCCUCUGUUUCCACCAUCACGAAUAACUCUACCAGUCGAAUUAGAUCUGCAAAAGCCCAGAUCCCAAUGCUCCACAGCUUGAAAAUCCCCAGAUCCCCAAUGUAGCUUUGAAUCUGAGUGGUGGUAGUUUUGUGGUGUUUUAUUUUCAAGUGGAGGUACCCGAAUGAACACUGACUACAUCAAGAAAGUGGUGGUGUGGUGGAUGGAGGUAGUUUGAGGUUUAUUCAUGGAUAUGCAAGUCGAGUUGCAACAGUCAGUGCAGCAAGAGGUUUAUUCAGCUCUGAAUCGAUCAAAUCCUGAAAACGGGGAGUGCUUCUUAUGUUGUGAUGACGGAUUUGGAUGGUUCUGGUGCAAACAGCAUAUAUAGAGAGAGAGAGAGAGAGUUUAGAGAGAGAAAGGGGGCAUGGAUUAAAGAGUAAAACAUAUUUAUUACAAAAAUAGUUAAUACAGUAAAUUGACAAAUUUACCCUCAUGUCUAAUGCACAUGGCUGGAUUUAACUGAAAGUUU
rnacentral:lncRNA from 1 species